CACGUAGGGUGCGAGCGUUGUCCGGAAUUAUUGGGCGUAAAGAGCUCGUAGGCGGUGUGUCGCGUCGGCCGUGAAAACCUGCAGCUUAACUGUGGGCUUGCGGUCGAUACGGGCAUCACUGGAGUUCGGCAGGGGAGACUGGAAUUCCUGGUGUAGCGGUGAAAUGCGCAGAUAUCAGGAGGAACACCUAUGGCGAAGGCAGCUCGCUGGGACGGUACUGACGCUGAGGCGCGAAAGCGUGGGGAGCGAACAGG
rnacentral:rRNA from 1 species